AUUGAACGCUGGCGGCAUGCUUUACACAUGCAAGUCGAACGGUAACAGGCCUUCGGGCGCUGACGAGUGGCGAACGGGUGAGUAAUGCAUCGGAACGUGCCCAGUCGCGGGGGAUAACUGCUCGAAAGAGCAGCUAAUACCGCAUACGAUCUGCGGAUGAAAGCGGGGGACCUUCGGGCCUCGCGCGAUUGGAGCGGCCGAUGUCAGAUUAGGUAGUUGGUGGGGUAAAGGCUCACCAAGCCAACGAUCUGUAGCUGGUCUGAGAGGACGACCAGCCACACUGGGACUGAGACACGGCCCAGACUCCUACGGGAGGCAGCAGUGGGGAAUUUUGGACAAUGGGCGCAAGCCUGAUCCAGCAAUGCCGCGUGCAGGAAGAAGGCCUUCGGGUUGUAAACUGCUUUUGUACGGAACGAAACGGUCUGGGUUAAUACCCUGGGCUAAUGACGGUACCGUAAGAAUAAGCACCGGCUAACUACGUG
rnacentral:rRNA from 1 species